rnacentral:rRNA from 1 species
CAGCCGCCGCGGUAAUACCGGCGGCCCGAGUGGCGGCCACUAUUAUUGGGCUUAAAGCGUCCGUAGCCGGGUUGGUUAGUCUCCCGGGAAAUCUGGCCGCUUAACGGUCAGAAUUCCGGGAGAUACUGCCAGCCUAGGGACCGGGAGAGGCCGAGGGUAUUCCCGGAGUAGGGGGGAAAUCCUAUAAUCCCGGGAGGACCACCUGUGGCGAAGGCGCUCGGCGGGAACGGGUCCGACGGUGAGGGACGAAGGCCAGGGGAGCAAACCGGAUUAGAUACCCGGGUAGUCCUGGCUGUAAACGAUGCGGACUUUGUGUCGGACAAGCUAUGAGCUUGUCCGGUGCCGGAGGGAAACCGUUAAGUCCGCCGCCUGGGGAGUACGGCCGCAAGGCUGAAACUUAAAGGAAUUGGCGGG